rnacentral:lncRNA from 1 species
GUGACCCCAUGGUUUUGGAGCAUUUUAGAAGCACCCUUCACUAAGGGUAUUUUGGGGAUUGCACAUAUUAAAGAAACAAACUAUGACCUCCCCUUUCAUUUAGGGUAUUUUGGUCCAUUAUACUAUGUAAUAAGCUAGGCUAUAUAUAGUCUCUUAUUAGGUCUUUUCUCUUUAGUUUUAGAAAUGAUGAAAUAUUGAAACAUUGAAAGUCCUCUCUUUGAGAGUAGAACACCUUAGUGUAGUCUUAGUUAGGGCUUGAAAAAGCUAUUGUAGUUUAGGGCUUGGAAAAGCCAAUAUUGUUCUUUGCUU